GCUUGGGUCAAAUAUCUCUUCCCCAAACCAGCCUCCCAACUAACCCAAUCAAUGAAGAGGCUACCUCCCAACCAACCCAAUCAAUGAGGAGGCAGCCCACCCCCUCUCCCUCUAUAUAAAGGGGCUUGGCAGCCCACCCCCUCCUCACUUGCUCUCACUUUUCCACUCCCCACUCUCUCCUCCACUCCCACACACUCUCCUCCUACCUCUCCCCACGAAAUUGCUACUCCUCCUAGCUUCAUGGCCGGCCAUGGCCAUGGAAAGCUCACCAAGAUGCAGCUCCUUCCUCCCUCAAGCUCAUCCUCACCAUGAGAGCCUCCCUCUCCUUCUUCUCCCCAAUCCUAGAUGGUUUUCUCUCCUCUUCUUCUUCCUCCCUUGCUAAGAUUGGAUCUUGAUGCAGGUGCAUGUUGGUCCAAGCAUGGAGAAGAUUCUGGUACGAUAUUGUAAAAUCCGCCAAAUCUCGUGUGCAGAUCCAAAUUGAGUGGUUCAAAGUUCUGCAGAUAGAUCAAGAUCUGGUCAGAUCUGACUUUGUCGAAUUAAAUCAGGAGCUUGGAAACGAAUUUUUGAAUGAAACCAGUUGGAUAAGAACCACCUUUACAAUACCUUUC